rnacentral:rRNA from 1 species
GAUGAACGCUGGCGGCGUGCCUAAUACAUGCAAGUCGAGCGAACGGACGAUAAUCUUUCUUCUCUGCUGUUAGCGGCGGACGGGUGAGUAACACGUGGAUAACCUACCUAUAAGACUGGGAUAACUUCGGGAAACCGUAGCUAAUACCGGAUAAUAUUUUGAACCGCAUGGUUCAAAAGUGAUAGACGGUCUUGCCGUCACUUAUAGAUGGAGCCGCGCUGCAUUAGCUAGUUGGUAAGGUAACGGCUUACCAAGGCAACGAUGCAUAGCCGAGCUGAGAGGGUGAUCGGCCACACUGGAACUGAGACACGGUCCAGACUCCUACGGGAGGCAGCAGUAGGGAAUCUUCCGCAAUGGGCGCAAGCCUGAUCCAGCAACGCCGCGUGAGUGAUGAAGGUCUUCGGAUCGUAAAACUCUGUUAUUAGGGAAGAACAUCUGUGUAAGUAACUGUGCACAUCUUGACGGUACCUAAUCAGAAAGCCACGGCUAACUACGUG